AUGAACCAAACGUCGAGUUAAGGGGCCUAAACGAAUGCUCAUUCAGAUCCCAUCGAAAGGUGUUGGUUGCUAUAGACAGCAGGACGGUGGCCAUGGAAGUUGGAAUCCGCUAAGGAGUGUGUAACAACUCACCUGCCGAAGCAACUAGCCCUUAAAAUGGUAUGGCGCUCAAGCAUUCUCCCGAUACUCGACCGCCGGGGCACUACAGGCUACUUCUUUUUAAGAAGAGGUCUCGAAGCCCCGGUGAGUAGGAGGGUCGCGGUGGUGAGCGCCGAAGGGUUCGGCGUGAGCCGGCCUGGAGCCUCCACCGGUGCAGAUCUUGGUGGUAGUAGCAAAUAAUCGAGAGAGACUUCCUUGAAGGCCGAAGUGGAGAAGGGUUCCA
rnacentral:rRNA from 1 species